rnacentral:lncRNA from 1 species
UUAACAGAAUCUCUCACUCUCUCUCUCUCCCCUUAAUGCAUGGUGCUGCUUCACAUUUUGACUUCCAUUUGAAUGGUCUUGGCAGCUGAAGCUUCUGCAAAAACAAGAAGAAUGAAAGUUCUCAUCAGCAUUCUCCUCCUCCUAUCACUCGCCACACACAUCAAUUCCGAUCUCAGCUCCGACACAGCCGCCCUUCUGGAAUUCGCCGAUGCGGUCCCGCACGUGCGUAAUCUCAACUGGAACGCCGCAAAUCCAAUCUGCACUUCAUGGAUAGGCAUCACUUGCUCCAACGACAAUACCAGAGUCGCCGGAGUCCACCUCCCCGGCGUCGGCCUCUUCGGAGAAAUCCCGGCCAACACCAUCGGAAAAUUAGACGCCCUCAAAGUCCUCAGCCUGCGAUCAAACCACCUCAGCGGCGACCUCCCCUCCGACAUCCUCUCCCUCCCUUCCCUCCAAGCCCUCUACCUCCAGCGCAACAACUUCUCCGGCGCCAUCCCCCUCUUCCUCUCGCCCCGCCUCGCCGUCGUCGAUCUCUCCUCCAACUCGCUCUCCGGCGCCAUCCCGCCGUCGCUCGCCGAGCUCAAGAGGCUGGCCGUGCUCAACCUCGAAUUCAAUUCCUUCACCGGAAAUCUCCCCAAUCUCGACAUUCCAACCCUAAAAAUGUUGAAUGUGAGCUACAAUUCCCUAAAUGGCUCCAUUCCCCAAUCCCUAGCUAAAUUCCCCGCUUCAUCCUUCAUCGGGAACGCGGAUCUCUCCUCAGCGCCGUCAGCCUCGUCUUUCGCUGCUCCUCCACAACAAGGCUCCUCUUCUUCUUCUCCUCAGAGUGCCAAGUCGAGGAAACUGAAUACAGGAUCCAUCGUGGCCAUCAGCGUUGCCUGCGCGUGUCUGGCAAUUGUAGCGCUGGCGUAUCUCCUCAUGAUCUGCGUGAAGAAGAGGAAUCAGAAGCACGGCUCCUCCACCAGAGUGAUCAAAGUGAAGACAUCGUCGUCUGACGGCGUCAAGACGGAGAAUCUCAAGUCGGACGAUUUCGGGAGCGGCGUGCAAGGAGCGGAGAAGAUCAAGCUCACAGUCUUCCAAGGCUGCUCCUUCAACUUCGAUCUCGAAGACUUGCUCCGAGCGUCGGCGGAGGUGCUCGGGAAGGGCACUCACGGCACCACCUACAAGGCCAUCCUCGACGAAUCCACCACGGUGGCUGUUAAAAGGCUCAAAGACGUCGCCGUUGCCAAGAAGGAAUUCGAUCAGUACAUGGAGGUCGUGGGCCGCCUCGGCCGCCACCCCAACGUCGUGCCGUUGCUCGCAUACUACUGCUCCAAAGACGAGAAGCUUCUCGUCUACGAGUACAUGCCUUCAGGCAGCUUGUCUGCGGCCUUGCACGGUAUAUAUUCUAUCGAAUUCAUCAUUCAUCAUUCAUCAAUCGUGUUUUAAUAAUUAAUGAUGAGUCUUAUAUAUUGAAAGGCAAUCGAGAUGUAGGAGGAGGUGCACUGGAUUGGGAUUCGAGGCUGAACGUGGCGAUCGGAGCAGCAAGAGGGGUGGCCCACAUUCACUCAGAAGGCGGGGCGAAGUUCAUCCAUGGCAACAUAAAGUCCUCCAACAUACUCCUAAGAGGAGGCCUUGACGGCUGCAUUUCCGACCUGGGCUUGAGCCCGCUGCUAACGGGCUACAACGACGUCAAGUAUCGCGUGGCCGGCUACAGAGCGCCGGAGGUGAUGGAGACGGCGAGGAAGGCCACGCAGAAAUCGGAUGUGUACAGCUUUGGUGUAGUGCUUCUUGAAAUGCUGACGGGGAAGAGCCCCGUGAGGUGCCCCGGGUACGAGGAGGUGGUUGAUCUGCCGAGGUGGGUGAGGUCCGUGGUCCGGGAGGAGUGGACGGCGGAGGUGUUCGACGUGGAGCUGAUCAAGCACGGCGGCGUCGAGGAGGAGCUGGUGCAGAUGCUGCAGAUCGCCUUCUGCUGCGUGGCCAAGGUGGCGGAGGCGCGCCCGUCAAUGGAUGAGGUGGUGGGGAUGAUGGAGAGGGUUCGGCAUCCGGACGUCGAGAACCGGCCGCCGUCCGAGACAACCGGUCCAAGGAUUCAAAUGUGCAGACGCCGUGAAAUGGGAAUAGUAUUGGUGGUGUUGGUAUAUGGUAGGAGUUUAAUUUCUCAAUUGGUUUUGUAUAAGGCCAUAAGAUGUGACAUGGUGUAGUUAUGUAGUGAAGAUUUUUCAUUUCCUAAAGAGGGAUUGGGGGAUGAUGCUUAGCAUCCCUUUCAUUUGCCUUUUGUUUUUUUUUUUUUUUUUUUUUAUAUAUAUAUAUUGUUGGUUGUUUAGGGUCUAGUAUUAAUUAACNAAGUAUUUUGUAAUAUUAGUGUGCUAUUGUCAUGUAAUUUAUGCUUUUUUCAAUUAUUAUGUAAUGUUAUUUUAUAUGUUGUUGGAAUAAAUUAAUGUGCAAUAAUUUAAAUAUAGUAUAAAAAUCAAAAUAAUUAUAUUAUAUUAUGUUAUAAUUAAAUAAAUCAGAAUAAAUAUAAAUAGAAUUAAAUAUAUAUAUAUAAUAUAAUAACUAUAUAAAAAGAUUAAUUUAAUAACAAUUAAAAGUAUCAAAAUAGAAUAUUCCAUUGUAGAGUGAAAUUUUUUUUUUUUUUUAUUUAUAUAUAUAUGUUGGUUGUUAGGGCAGAUUAAUAACAAUAAUAUGUUUUAUUGAAGCUACACGUAUAUGCUCUGCGCAUUUUCGGUUCUUAGAUAAGAGUGAAAAGCUUUUACAUGAUUAUAAAGUUCUCCCUUGAAAACAGUAAGCAUGAUUUUAAUUUUCCACAGCUCGCUCCGCGAAAAGACAAAAUGUAAGUAAAUUAAAAAAAAUACUCAAAUUGACAAAGUGUAAGUAAAUAAAAAAUAUCAAAUUAAAAAAAUGCAUCAAUUCACCAAUUUGGCUUGCUUGACCAAACUAUGAUUAUAUAUCACCCAUACGUGAUGUUGGUUACUAAUAUAAAUCGAAAUAGGCACUCUCCAGUGCAACCGGUUGCACCGUGCAACUGAUUUCUGAAUGAUAUUAUUUUAAAUACAAAUGACACUGAAGAUCAGUGUCAUUUGUAUGUUGAAAUAGUGUCAUUCGGAAAUGUUCAAGUGUCAUUUCCCGAAUAAAGUAGUGUCAUUCUGGCAAUCAGAGUAUUUGUGAAAUCAAAAUUGUGGAUUAGUACGAAUAGAGAUUAACAAUUCCAGAGCGUGAGGGCCGAAGAUCGAAAAAGUUAUAAUUUGAACAAUUUGUAACCGAAUAAUCAAAUAAAAUUGACCAGAAAAUAGCCCGAAUAUGACAAAGUUAAUCUGAAAACUAGUAAGUUUCUUAAUUAGUUGAUUUUUUUUCAUUAUUUCACAACUUUAUUACUUUAUUUUUAAAAUUUAAUUUUUGUUAAGAUUUUCUUUUGAAAUGUAUUUUCAUUCAAUAUUCAAAAGUUAUACUCAUCAUUAUUUUAACACUAACAUUUGCAUCCCGUGCAAUGCACAAGUAAUAUUUUUAUAUUUUUAUAUUGAUACCAACUCAAUUUAUAAAUAUAAUUAAAAAAAUUAAUUUUAAACUGAAUAUAUUUGAAUUGAAUAUUGAAAAAAGAAAUAGACAAGAGUUCACUAUAAAAAAUUGAUAUUAUGACAAAGCAAAAACAAAAAAAAAACUUAAAAAAUGGAAAUAAAAAAGAAUUGAAAAAUAAAUUUAUUUAAAAAAAUGAAAGUGGGGGAGAUUUUUUUUUUAUUUUUAAUCUUUAAAUAAAUAUAAUUUUGUAUUUUAAAUCAAAUACUUACAUAGAAUUAAAUUAAAACUUUUUAUCGUGAUCUUUAAUUUGAUAUGCAUAUUAAAUAAUUUAUAAUCAGUCAAAUUUUAUAUUUUAGAAAGAAAUAAAACAAAAAAAAGAUAAAGAUAAAAAAAAAUAUAAUUACAAAUAAAUCUUUAAUUUUAUUAUAAUUAUAUAAGAGUCAAAUAUCAAACUAGCUUAUUUCUUAUAGUGAAUUAAAAAUUUGCCAGCGUACUCAAAUAAAAAAAUUUAAAAAUUAUUCACUUUUUGUGUUAAAUGACUAAACUGCUCCUAAGAUUAAAAUUAAAAAAAUACUCACGUCACAUCUCACUCUCUCGUCUCGGUCUUUCUGUCUCUCUCAAUUUUUGCUGCAAUCGCAUAAGCUUCAACAAUUGAAUCGUGAUGGAUUAUCAUCGGCGAUCGAUCUAAUUUGGAAAACUAAAACUUGUUUAAAUUCAAUAGAGAAAGGGAGAGACUUACAGAUCUGUAGAUGGUGAAGAUGGAGAGGAAGAGGAGGAGAUGUAGGAAGAGGAGGCUGCGCGCCAUAGGAUGCUUGUUGUGGAAGCUUCUGGGUUUUGGUGUAAUGCGCAGUGAUGUUUGUCAGUAUGUGUGUUUAUAAUAAGUGUUUGAUGAAUUCAAAUUGAAAGGAAAAGGUAAGAAAAUUAGACCAUAAAUUAUUACUAAAAAUGUAGGUUUGGACUUUGGAGUUUGGACGCAGAGAUAGUGUCUAAACUUGUUGUGAUGUAAGCUUGGCUUAGAUCAUUAAUGAAUUCAAU